ACCAGAGUGGGGAACUUGCCUGCAGGAGUGAUAUCAACAUGAUUCAAUCAGCUGGGCAGGCAAAGCAGACCACAUAUAGCAAAAGCUAUCCAGAUGAACAGCUCCAAGAGUAUGUCAUCAAGCAACUAAUAAAACAGUUCAAUACAAACACAAUGACAGGACAUUGCCUUGCAACAAGUACCAAAUUAGUCAUUAUCAUGCAAAACUACAUACAGAAAUAUGAGACAACACUGCAUUGCAUGCUACAGCUUGGCACGCAAAGUAACAGUCAUGUCAGAAACGGACUACUUGCCUGCCUUGUUGAGACCAG
rnacentral:misc_RNA from 1 species